AACGAACGCUGGCGGCAUGCUUAACACAUGCAAGUCGAACGAGAAAAUCCGCAAGGAUGAGUACAGUGGCGCACGGGUGAGUAACACGUAGAUAACCUGCCCUCAAGUCUGGGAUAACUCUCCGAAAGGAGGGCUAAUACCGGAUAAUACUUUUUGUAUGAGUGUCAUGAAGUUAGUAAAGUUAACGGUCGCGUUGGGGUAGGGGGUCGUGCGUCCCACUUAGCUAGUUGGUAGGGUAAGUGGCCUACCAAGGCGACGAUGGGUAGCGGGUCGUGAGAGGAUGAUCCGCCACACUGGCACUGAGACACGGGCC
rnacentral:rRNA from 1 species